ACUAAGUCAAGGGUGCUCUACAACAUGGUGUAGUUGUUUUGGAAGUUUGGAGAUUUUUUUUCAUUGAUUUGGAAGUGAAGAAGUUAGAAGAAAAAGAUUUUGGAGGAAACGAGAAUUGAAUUUGGAUAAUCGUAAAACGUCAAAAAGGUACCGACGUUCGUUGUGCUGAGCCGCCUGUUUAGGACAUCUGCGGUGGUAUUGACAGUGCUCCUUUGUUCGGAGCUUGUAUUUUGGUACUGACUCUAUCUCUGUAUAUUUGUAUAUAUUGGUCAGGGGUACGACGGGGCCCUGUCCUGUCUUAUGACUAUGUUAUCAUCUGUAGAGGUCUGUAGACAGAGUUAUGUCGUGGGUUUUGGAUGUAUGGUUUGGAUUUUUGUGUGUUUUGUGACAGCCUUUCAA